rnacentral:rRNA from 1 species
AGAUUGAACGCUGGCAGGCAGGCCUAACACAUGCAAGUCGAGCGGAUGAAGGGAGCUUGCUCCUGGAUUCAGCGGCGGACGGGUGAGUAAUGCCUAGGAAUCUGCCUGGUAGUGGGGGAUAACGUCCGGAAACGGGCGCUAAUACCGCAUACGUCCUGAGGGAGAAAGUGGGGGAUCUUCGGACCUCACGCUAUCAGAUGAGCCUAGGUCGGAUUAGCUAGUUGGUGGGGUAAAGGCCUACCAAGGCGACGAUCCGUAACUGGUCUGAGGGGAUGAUCAGUCACACUGGAACUGAGACACGGUCCAGACUCCUACGGGAGGCAGCAGUGGGGAAUAUUGGACAAUGGGCGAAAGCCUGAUCCAGCCAUGCCGCGUGUGUGAAGAAGGUCUUCGGAUUGUAAAGCACUUUAAGUUGGGAGGAAGGGCAGUAAGUUAAUACCUUGCUGUUUUGACGUUACCAACAGAAUAAGCACCGGCUAACUUCGUGCCAGCAGCCGCGGUAAUACGAAGGGUGCAGGCGUUAAUCGGAAUUACUGGGCGUAAAGCGCGCGUAGGUGGUUCAGCAAGUUGGAUGUGAAAUCCCCGGGCUCAACCUGGGAACUGCAUCCAAAACUACUGAGCUAUAGUACGGUAGAGGGUGGUGGAAUUUCCUGUGUAGCGGUGAAAUGCG